rnacentral:rRNA from 1 species
UACGUAGACCUCAAGCGUUAUCCGGAUUUAUUGGGCGUAAAGAGCAUGUAGGAGGCCUCGUGCGUCUCUUGUUAAAGCCCACCGCCUAACGGUGGAAUUGCAAGAGAUACGACGAAGCUAGAGGAGGUUAGAGGUGCAUGGAACUCACGGUGUAGGGGUGAAAUCCGUUGAUAUCGUGGGGAACACCAAAGGCGAAGGCAGUGCACUGGGACCUUCCUGACUCUGAGAUGCGAAAGCGUGGGGAGCAAAAAGG